rnacentral:rRNA from 1 species
UACGGAGGGUGCAAGCGUUGCUCGGAAUUAUUGGGCGUAAAGGGUAGGUAGGUGGUCUCAUUUGUCUGGGGUGAAAGCCUCGAGCUUAACUCGAGAAGUGCCCCAGAAACGGUGAGACUAGAGUCUUGGAGAGGGUCGUGGAAUUCCCGGUGUAGCGGUGAAAUGCGUAGAGAUCGGAAGGAACAUCAGUGGCGAAGGCGACCACCUGGACUGAAACUGACGCUGAGGCGCGAAAGCGUGGGGAGCAAACAGG